rnacentral:tRNA from 1 species
ACUAUUCUAAUUUAAUAAAAAUAGGAGUUUUGUAACCUCCCAAUGAUCAGCC